GACGAACGCUGGCGGCGUGCCUAAUACAUGCAAGUCGAGCGCAGGAAGCUGACGGAACUCUUCGGAGAGAAGGCAGUGGAAUGAGCGGCGGACGGGUGAGUAACACGUAAGGAACCUGCCUCAAGGAUUGGGAUAACUCCGAGAAAUCGGAGCUAAUACCGGAUAGUUCAACGGACCGCAUGGUCCGCUGAUGAAAGGCGCUUCGGCGUCACCUUGAGAUGGCCUUGCGGUGCAUUAGCUAGUUGGUGGGGUAACGGCCCACCAAGGCGACGGUGCAUAGCCGACCUGAGUGGGUGAUCGGCCACACUGGGACUGAGACACGGCCCAGACUCCUACGGGAGGCAGCAGUAGGGAAUCUUCCACAAUGGACGAAAGUCUGAUGGAGCAACGCCGCGUGAGUGAUGAAGGUUUUCGGAUCGUAAAACUCUGUUGUAAGGGAAGAACACGUACGAGAGGGAAUGCUCGUACCUUGACGGUACCUUACGAGAAAGCCACGGCUAACUACGUGCCAGCCGCCGCCGUAA
rnacentral:rRNA from 1 species